AAGACAGUAAUGGUAGACCACGAGUUCCAUAUGUUAUAAACGUUGGAUCUGAUAACACUUCAAAUUAUACAACUAUUAUUAAAGAAUCUAUUCGUGAUAUGAAUAAAUAUAUGUCUCCUUGUGGUCAUGAUGUAUGGGUUGAAAAAGAAGAGAGUGAUAAAAAGGCAUAUAUUGAGUUUAUUACUACAUUUAAUGAUGGUUGUUACAGUAAAUAUAUCGGGAGAGAAGGAAUACCAAAACAGCAAAUUCAC
rnacentral:lncRNA from 1 species